AUUGAACGCUGGCGGCAGGCCUAACACAUGCAAGUCGAACGAGUGGCGGACGGGUGAGUAAUGUCUGGGAAACUGCCUGGUGGAGGGGGAUAACUACUGGAAACGGUAUCUAAUACCGCAUACCCACCGAUGUGCCCGUAUGGGAUUAGCGUGUUGGUGGGGUAACGGCGCACCAAGGCGACGAUCCCUAGCUGGUCUGCGAGGAUGACCAGCAACAAUGGAACUGAGAGACGGUCCAGACUCCUGCGGGAGCCAGCAGGGGGGAAUAUUGGACAAUGGGCGGAAUCUUGAUGAAGCCAUGCCGCGUGUAUGAAGAAGGCCUUCGGGUUGUAAAGUACUUUCAGCGGGGAGGCGUUACCAGCAGAAGAAGCACCGGCUAACUCCGUGCCAGCAGCCGCGGUAAUAC
rnacentral:rRNA from 1 species